rnacentral:rRNA from 1 species
AUGGCUCCUAAGGCGGCUAAGGCCUCUGUGACUUGCAACUGGGCUCCAUCCACGGCCACCAAAAGCAAACUUGCCGAGUUUGUAGCGUCGGGCCAUCUGCCAAAAAAGGAGGUCAUGUCCUACCGUGCCCCCCACCCGUCUGAGGAGAUACCUCAACCCAAAGACGGAGAGGUAGUAGUUUUCAUAGACCAUAUGAACCGGGGAUUUGCCCCUCCCGGCUCAAAAUUCUUCAGAGAAGUUCUGGCUUUCUUUGACCUGAGGCCUCAAGACAUCGGACCCAAUUCCGUGUCUAAUCUGUGCAAUUUCCAAGUCUUCUGCGAGGUAUAUUUAGGAGAGGAACCAAGUCUGCUGCUGUUCAGGGAGCUUUUUUACUUGAACCGGCAGAAUGAGCGCGCCAGCGGACCUAGUCUUGAACUUGGUGGCAUUUCAAUCCAGCGGCGGAGAGACUGCCUUUUUCCUUAUGCUGAGCUGCCGAGUCAUCCCAAAGACUGGAAUCAGACGUGGUUCUACUUCCAAGACACCUCUCUGGCUGACGAGAAGCCUCUGCCCGACUUUCGUGUCCUGCGCCUUGAGUCCAAUCAUCCUCUGGCGGAGAAGUUAACCGCUGUUGAGCGCCUGCCUCUUAACCCCACCAUUAGAAGGAUCAAGGCCCUUUUGGGCAACGGGUUAACUGGCAUUGAUUUGGUCCGGGUCUGGGUCACCUGGCAGAUACUACCAUUAAGCCGCCGCUCCGGCUUAAUGUGUACUUACACAGGCGAGAAGGAUGACUCAAUGCGUCAUAGUCCUGAGGACUUACCAGAUGAUGUAGCAGACGCUACAGUCCAAUCACUAUUGAAGGAGGGCACUGUAACCAGUAAUACGUUCAGUUUGCUUCCCUUCUGCAAGAAGAAUCCGGCUCCUGCAGCCAAUGACAGCUUCUAG